AUUGAACGCUGGCGGCAGGCCUAACACAUACAAGUCGAGCGAGCGGCGGACGGGUGAGUAAUGUAUGGGGAUCUGCACGAUAGAGGGGGAUAAAUACUGGAAACGGUGGCUAAUACCGCAUACUAUCGGAUGAACCCAUAUGGGAUUAGCUAGUAUGUGGGGUAAAGGCUCACCUAGGCGACGGUCGCUAGCUGUGCUGAGAGGAUGAUCAGCCAAACUGGGAGUGAGACAUGGCCCAGACUCCUACGGGAGGCAGCAGUGGGGAAUAUUGCACAAUGGGCGCAAGCCGGAUGCAGCCAUGCCGCGUGUAUGAAGAAGGCCUUAGGGUUGUAAAGUACUUUCAGCGGGGAGGCGUUACCCGCAGAAGAAGCACCGGCUAACUCCGUGCCAGCAGCCGCGGUAAUUC
rnacentral:rRNA from 1 species